UGUGUGCUCCUUUCGUCCGGAAAAGCUUGUCCCAAAUUUAUCUUUAAAAUGGAUGUAUCUAGCACUAACUUGGUGCUAGAUACAUCCAUUUGAGGGACAAAUUUUUCCGGACGGAGAAAGUACUAG
rfam:Triticum aestivum genome assembly, contig: Triticum_aestivum_CS42_TGACv1_scaffold_542711_6DS